GUGUUUGUGGUGCUGGGGAUUAAGAUAUGUUGCAUUCCUACAGAAUUUCAGAAAUUUAUUGCAUCUGAGGCUUUGGAAACCAGAAAAAACUAUUUUUCUCGGAAUGAAACACGGUAAAAGAUUGAUUGAAGACUUACAAGACUCUGUUAUUUUCAACAGAAUUUAACCCUUUGACUAGUGCAGGUACAGAUGUGUUAUAGUGGUUCCUCUCACAUAAACAAAGGAAUCCAUUCAUUCCAUUACUGCAAAAAUGAAAAUAUAAUGAUUAGGGCACGGAGGCCAGGGGGAGGAUGGCAUGAGAAACAAAUGCAUAUAAAAUAGUUCACAGCAAAAAAAAAAAAAAUCGAGAACAUAAUUGCAUAAUACAUGGCACACCGACCUAACACGUGUGUCAAUUGGAAUGAAAUAUAAUGGAUCUUCUGUUGGUAAUGGACACAUUUGAUAUAGUAAAACAACUUGUGCAGCCAAUGGAUGACUAUCAUGGACAUAAAUUAUGUCAAACAUUAUUUUAUUUCGAGAUUUCUCUUGUUCCUGCAGAAACACUACCAAUGCAUAAGAAUUCGAGUAGAUGCGCAGGAAACCAAAAGUUCGUAUAACACAAAUUCUAAACUUAAAAAAAAUCAAUUAAUUAAAAGAAUCCACAUUCCCCACACCGUUAAAGUGUAUUCAAGCUUUUUUGUCUCAGCAAGCAACCGUCUCUCAUCAAUGAAUGGCAGUUUUGCAACUCCCUGGUUCCAUGAGAAUAACAAAUAUAAUCGUCUCUCAAGUCAGAAUAUCAAAGGCAAAAAUCUAAACCAACUGAAUACAUCCGCAUGAUUUACCUGCCAUGCGAAGCGUUUACCAUUCAUGUCUAUCUCAAAAUCUGAAGAUGAAAAAGAAAAAUUUUUAGACCCCAAUAAAAUACAAUCUGUAAUUAAAAUAGCAUCAAGAUGGAUAACACAUUGAAUAUAGAUUUCAAAUUCACAACCGUCAAAUCAUAUAAUGAAGACAGUCUGUGCCAAAAAGCAAAGACACCAAUUCAUAAAACCUACAGAAACUAUUUGAAACAAUUUUACCUUUGGGAUAAAAGGUGCUUAAGGGUGAUGCUGGAUCAGUCAUCAAUGCCUUGUAAUGCUCAGGCAAGGCACUGGAGCUACAGGAAGAGAAAACCUCAUGAUUAAAACCACCCUGAUGAGCUUCCAUGUCUCAAGAUAACAUCCUUAACAAGAGACAAAAACAUGUAGCAACUCAGUUUCUAACCUGGCAGCUGGAAGUGUUCCCAUUAGUUGAUCAAAUGGCUUAAAAGGUUGACCCAGAAAAAACGUAAUCUCCAAAUCAGCCAAUCCUUUGAGAUCGGAUGCAAAAGGGGCAUAAUGAUAUGGGUAGAACCUGAGUGGGAGAAGAAAAAUUUGCAACCGCUUAUGGAUUUUAAAUCUCAAAGUGCAUUAGCACAAUUUGUUCAAUAUUACUGGAAGAGGAGGGAACAGCUUAGUUAAGGUACAGAAUUUUAUGUGAAGUUUCAGGACUUGCUUAAGCUAGACAAAUAAAAAUGGAAAUCUUAACCAACAAGUCACAUCCCAUCUAUAUGGGAUCAAAGCCAAAAUUGAGGUAUAAAUAUGACUGUAGAGUAGCAGCUCUCAUCCUUUUGUCAAGCAAUGAAAGGGUACCGAAUCCUUAUCCUUCUUUGGAUAAAAGAGGUGUUUCUGCAACUGAUAUGAUAUAUGAAUUGGACCAAAUAAGGAUAAACCAUUUUGACAUGGUAUGCGCUUGUCCAAUGAAGAUCUGAGAACACUCAGCGUGGAGAGCUGUUGAAGUUAUGCAAAAGGAACAAAGUUAAGAUGCCUAACUUUGAAUCACCGUUCACCAAAGCUUUGAGAAAGCACCCGCUCUCUCUUCUCCUUCACUCGCUCCUUGCUCAUGCUCACUCUCUCCCCUCUUCAACACUGACCAAUGCCAAGGCAAGUCUCAUCUCUCUCUCACUCCCUCUUCCUCCCUCUCCUUCUCCUCCUUCCCCCUCUCCAUGAGCCCCCCUCCCUCUCCCUCCUUUCCUCCCUCUCUCCUCCUCCCCCUCCUCCCUCUUCCACCUUUCUCUGGGCGCUUCUCCCUCCGUUCCUCUCUCCCCCUCCCUUUCCCUCCCACACUCCCUCUCUUCCUCCCUCUCCUCCAUCUUCCCCCUCUCUGUAAGACCCAUCCCUCUCCCUCCCUCCCUCCCUCUAUUUUUUCCCUCUCCUCCCUCUCCCCCUCUUCCUCUCCCUUCCCCUGGUUCAAUAUACCCCAGCUCGAUAUGGUACGUACAAGUACUGUACUGAACUGAUCGACAGCCAGUACGAGCCCCAUUAUCGAUUCGGCAGACCUUGCUUUAAAUAUAUGAAGGUAGUGAGGAAGAAUUCUGGAAAAUGUUUCAAUAAAAUAGUAAGUAGCCCUUGCUUGGAACAAUAGAAGAAUAAGCUAAAUAGUUGGAAUAUGGCUUGAUAGCUUUCAUCAUGGUUAUAAGUAAAUGUUGGGGAAAAAUUGCAUAACUAGUUAUUUAGGAUUUGGACAAACUUUCAGUAAAUAAAAUGCAGCCCACAAUAGAACAAGGACUUAUAAUUGACUCAAAUACUUAGAAUAAGGCUUGACGGUUAUCUGUCCAGUUACAUAUAAGUAAAUGUAUGAAAAAUAAGUAUAACUUUUUAGUAUCAAAAUAACUUACCACUGCCAAGAGCAGACACCUUGGUAGUAAUAUCUCAUAAUCCAGCAAAGGCCUUCUACAUAUUUUUGGACCUGUAAAGCAAGACUAUUAAUGUACCAAAUAAGAAACAAGUUUGUCAACCUAGUCAACAAAUCUACCACUCCUAGCUUCACAAGCAUAGGCAACAUUUUAAAAGGUAGAUGGGGCUUGCCAUGUGCUCUAGGGAGACAUUUGUGGGUGCAAAUGUUUGUACUAUUUUUCAAAAUAUAUAAAAUUAAUUAAGAUACAUAGAUAUUCAAUAACAAUAAGAACAGCAACUGCAGCAAUGAUGACAGCCAAUAAUUAGUAGUUACUAAUUACUGAAUACCUAAUAAAAAUACAACCUCACCAUCUGCCUGAACCUACCACCCGGCCUGCAUAGGCCUCCAUAAGAGUGCACUAACAUAAGCAGCCGCACAAUGCUAAGGGAGACACUAUUAGGUCCAUAUGCCACAAACCGCAUACAAUAACCGUAAAUAAGGAAAGCAGCAUGGUCAAGGGACCACAUCCACAUUUGUGACUGCAUAUACUGACUUUUAGAGCACCAAGCACAGGAAAAUAUCUAUUCCUCGACACAACUUUUGGCGAUGAUUUCAUAGCCUGAACUACUAUUUGAAGAAAAGGACAAAUACAAUAUCCAACAUCUUGUUACGAUAACUUAAAAAAUUGUCAUUCCACUAUUGCAUCAAAUGUUGCUCUACAAAUGAUAAUGUUUCUCUACAGAAAACAAUGUGUCAUACAUAAUUGUCAAUGCACAAGUCAAAUCCUUUUGGGUUUAUACAUGUGGAUUCAUGAAAACAUUAAAUUACAUCAACUUCCCAUUAUUUGCUAUUUGAAUGCAGGUCAAAGUCUAGCAUAUAAAAUUUUGAAUUUUGGUAAAUCAAAGUGCCUAUAUUCCAUGUUGAUGUUGAGGUAUGUAAAAUCCAUACAAUUUUAAGACCAGAAAAAACCUUGGGCAAUUUUAGAUUCAUGAAAUAAAAUCCAAGUUUUAUCAGAAGUAUCAAUGUAACAAGGAAAAGAUGUGUGCAUAUUAGCUUAAGAACAACAAAGUGUUUCAAGAAAUUCAGUAAAAAAAUUCAAGAUUAGUGAUAGCAAAUGACUCACAACAUCUUUCCUGACAUCAUCAAUGGACUUUGGUUCUUCUAUAUUGAAUUUCUCAGCAUAGUACCUUUCCUUGUACCCAGGUUCCCCUAACUUUACCUGAAAAAAGGAUCAUCACAAUCAAAAUCCACAAAAAGACUGGUUAAUGGGGGGACAACGUUCCAACUGCAAGUUCAAAUAUGUGUUUACUCAUGAACACAUAUGCAGAAAAUCAACGUCCUUUUAGCAAUCAAACACCAUGUACUUUGACUGAAUGGUUUAUCAAAUGCUUUGUAUAAAGUUCGAAAAAUAUAGAUCAGCAAGUAAAUCAAGUUUAUGAAGGCACAAGAAUGAUUGUAAUGAUGCCUCCAUGAGUAUAGCAUUAAUUUUGUCAAUCGAAACUGCUCAACUUGUAAAAACACAUCUUGCCUUACAAAUCAACUUGAGACAUAAACUUAUGAUUGGGACAAAUGGGUACUCAAUGAUUUGGUUGACAAACCAUGUGGCAAAAGAUGCUAAAUUUCCUAUAAGAUUUCCCUUGCCAAAAAUUUGUAUUUGGCAUGUAGUACAAAAAUAUAUUUAGAGGUUUUAGACUGACUGUCAGAGUGGAGAAAAAAAAUUUCAAAUAAUUUUGGACACGGAAGUGCCUAAGAAGCAUCUGAAUGCAUGAAUGUUGCAGCCACUAAAGAUCAGUUGAGAAUACUAAUGAAUAGUAGCUUUGCUUUCAGUUUAAAUCUGAUAUUUGGUCUGAAUUAUGUGCAGUCUGACGUUUUCUCGCAGCUGAUAAGAAAAAUAAAAAUAAAAAGAAAAUAGCUCCAAAUCUGCUUCCAGAUUUGACUUCGAGAAGAAAUCUUGUAGCAGAAAUUACAUGCAGCAUAAAAUCUACGAUCCAAACAAGAUUAAAAUUAUUCAGCAGAGUACUGCACUAUGCAGCAGUCAAGGGACUGCAGAGCGCAUGCGUGGUAUCCGGGCUGCAUAUGGGGAGCAUAUGUGAUAAGUAUUUUUUUAAGAAUAUAAAAUAAAUAAUGUAUAUUAAGUACAAUAAAAGCAACAAUAAUGAUAUAUUCUACGGAUAAGGGAUAUCAAUAUUAAUAACAAUGGCAACUAAUAAUUAGUGUUUAUUACUUAGUACUUAAUACUACUAAUAAUAAUAGUUGUAACCAAGGUCCGCCGUACCGGUACCGGUCGGCGUACCGGUGGCGGCCCGAACCGGUCCCGUACUGGUCCGAACCAGUUCUGUACCGGUUCUCCAACAAUAAACUACCGGUACCGGAUUCCACGCUGAUCCGGUACCGGUCCCAGGCCCGACCGGUACCGCAGACCAUGGUUGUAACAUAAGUGAAACUCAUAUCCGACCUAACCUUCAGUAUGAACAUGCUCUAUCCACAUUGGCCCACCUAAGAGUGGGAACAUAUUUUGCACCAUAAUACUAAAUGGGUCACAUAUGCAGCUGCGCAAUGCUAAUUUAGCCACACAAAUGGCCACAUAAUGCUAAGUCAACUGUCUUUUCAGUCCAUAUAUGGUAUAACCACGUACAUUAACUAUAUAUCGGCAAUGCACUCCAGUCAAGGGGCCACAUGCAUGUAUACGGUCACAUAUGCAGCCUCAUGCACCACAGUUUAGAACACUGACAUUCAGCAGAAAUUCAAAAACAAUGUACUUGAACUAGAAUUUACUUGGCCAAAAAAUUAUAAAGUGGAUUGAAGGUCUGAUUAGUUUUUACCCAGGUGUCAUUUAGCAAAUGUCUAGCUCUGAUUAGUUUUAGCAUUAAAGGAUUUAUAAAGUAUUUAAAAGAUGUAUAGAAUAUCACUAUAAUGCAAGCCAGUUGUUGACAUUGAUUAUAAGUUGAUGUAAUGAGAAUCUUGUGAUAUCGGCCAUAAGUUUGAGCACCAGUGGUAAACUUGGAUCUAUUUAAUUUAUUUCAUAGACUCUUAUGUAUAUAUACAUAUACAUAGGCAUAUUCAUAAAAGUACAUACAUAUGCACAUGCACAAGUAGAUGUAUGCAUGUAUGAUCUCUGUUCUUCUCAUUGAACAUUAUUUGCAUUACUACUAUCAUAUAUUCACAAAUGAAUCCCAUCAAUUUCUCCCUCGGUUGUAGAAAGUAAUAGUUCACUCCAUGCCCGUGCAAAAAUUCAUGCACAUACUUACAACCAAAAUGAGAAAAACACAAACCUUGUCUGGGGACAUAGACUGAAGAUUUUCAGGGAUUUCUCUCUGCGUUUUAAGCUUUAGCUCUUCAUUAUUUUCAAUUGCCUGAGAUGCAUUAUUAAAACAUGUGUCAACAACUGCAAUAACAAAACCCAGACAGCAAGAUGAGUUUUACACUAGAACAUGAAAAGCCCAGUAGCAACAAAGCUUCUCGGGGAUGCAUAACUAGUGAGAAAUGGUAACCUGUUAAAAGCAUGUUCAGGAAGACAGAUACUUUUGCAUGCAACAAUAACCAAAGGGAAAUCCUUAUUGCAAAUCAAUAAGCAGCAAAAGAAAAUCAGUUGUACUCAGAGAUUAAUCAAAUAUAAUUAAAGAUCUACAGAUAAAGCAAGUAAUUCAAUUUAAGUUCAAAUUUCUGCUAGCAUCCAUUGCAUUUGAUUUACCAUAAUUGUUAUUAUUCUGAAAGUUAAAAAUAAGUAAACAUGAGCAUCGUUAAAAACUGGUACAAUGCAUGUACUCCUGGUAUAUGUGUUGGUUUGACAUAAUGAGACUCAGUAUCCCCCCCCGGCCGACCAAGUCUCGAUUUGGUACCAAUACGGUACAAUACACCGAAUACAGGGCAGUAUGUACUAGUACAACAAACCAUGGUUCAUAUAUGUUUUAUGACACGUAGAUCACACCUCUAUAUACAUCUAGUGCAUGUAUCACGGUCCACAAUUUGGAUUCUCAAUUUCCAUCCAUAAGACAAUUCUCAAUUGCCAUCCAUAAGACACCUGAAACCAUUUGAUUUCAUAUUUCAGAGCAUUUUAAAAAAUUAUGGAUCAUGACAAAAUGAAGAUUCUCAAUUUUGAAUAGCCUGUCUUUUAAUUUGCAUUGACAUAAUUAACAUUCAACUUGCCACAAAUGGAUUCUAGCCCAUUCACUAUGUGUAUACUUGUGUGAGAAUGAGGAUAAAAGAAUAGCUCUUUGCUCAAUUUAACUAUUCCCCAUAGGAAGGGCUCACUUCUUUCUGUGUCCUUUAAUUUACCUCGUCAGUUAAUACAUAGCCUAAAUGCCUAUGAGACUACCAAGACUUCCAUUGCCCUUCAUUAUCAGUGCCUCGAAUUCCAAAUUUUCAUCGAGAGUGUAUCAUCUGGCAGGCUGCCUAAAUAUUGCAAAAGUGUAAAGACUACAUUGGCUGCAAAGAGCUCGAAAUCAUGAACUGUUGCCGCUACAGGUUGUCCAAGAAGGCCCAAUAAAUUGAAGGUUCUAAACCCGAGGAUAAGUUUUCCUCCAAUGCAGCAAAUACACAAAAUUACAUGAGUCUCAUUGUUUACUUUAUUAUUGUUGUAGAUAUUUAGAGCUUCUAAACUGAAGGGUAUAUUUUCUCCCAGUGCAGCAAAUUGAUGGAACAAUGCAGAGUCUCACUGUUUACUUUCUUAUUACUAGUGCCUAGCACAUGCACCGCAUGUGCCUAUUCAAGAGAAAGAAAAAGGAGGAGGAAGGGGGGGAUGGGGGCAGAAGGGCCAGCCUUUUCUACAAAAAAGAGUGCAGUCGAAGCCUGGCAGGCCCCACACUAGAGGAAACUUGGGAAACCCCAAUUUCAAAUUGUGUACUUUAUAAAUAUUUUUGGCAAUUAGACAAGUGAGAAAUCAGAAUUAUUUUAUAUAGUUGGUUGCUUUAGAAAUUCAUAAACUGAGUUUUAAGUUUUCAAUUACUGGAAUAGUUUUGAAUAGGAAAGCGAAGUUUUAGGGAGCUUAGGAUCCAUCCUGUGAACAGGCUUGGUGUCAAAAAAAUCUUGGUCAUUUGGGUACUUAAGAGUCCGAGAUUUACAAUGAUAUAGUAACUCCCUUGUGACAGGUUCUAUGGAGUUCCAUAAGUUGCAAACUACUCACUGAACAAGUACUAACUAAACAACUACUUUUCUCCUUUCUAAGCACCUCUUUCCAUCUCUUCUUUCUGUCCUUCCUGCUACUGUCCUAAAGAUGAUUGAUCUUCAAUCUCUCCUUGUUUUUAAGCAGACAAACUCCCCAGUUUAUAUUCCUUUUCCAUUUUAUCUCAUUAAUAAUGAAAACAAAGGUGAUUGGAAGCAUCCAGCAUACAACCUUGAGCUGACCCUUAAGCAUCUAUGGCACAAAUUCCAGUACUCCCUAUAUUCUCAAUCACAUCACUCCCUUGCACUCCCAAUAUGUUCAUUCUCUGGAUGCAACAGCUCAAGAGUACUUUUCUUUCUUCACUAAGACUUCUGUACACACUCCUUCCAUCAUCCAACUGAGCCAAAAUAAAGGGGUAAGUGCAGGUCAAGGAAGGAGUGAAGGGAAAAGGAGAUAGAACAGGAAAAGGAUGCAAAGAUGCCAAAAAUUUAGAAUAGAAAGAAUGGAAAGGAACAAUAAGGAGUGGAAAGAAAGGAGAAGGUCAAUUGCAAGGGAGAAGUUGGAAAGACAGUAAGUGCUUUUAACUCAGUUUCUCUCACUAUAUUUGAUUUAGCAUCCGGUCUCUAUCAAACAUGUUGAUGUCUUUUGGGUAAGGCUCUCCAAAGAUACUGCUAAAUAAUGACUAACCUACCCCACCUCUUUUUUUUUCUAGCAUCUUUUGGUCCAAUCCUUUUUCGCUCCAUGUAACAAGAUCUAACAAAUUUUGCAUCAACAGGCUCCUCAAUAUUAAAAUAAUGCAGAUAAUUAUUCCUAUGUAUACAGGAAAAAAAAAGGCAAAGUCUUGUCAUAAACUCAAUAAUUGGAUUGAAAAGAGUUCAAUAUUUGAAUUAGCCUGACAUGAGAAAAACAUAUACUACGAAUCAAAGAACCAAGUAUAAAUCAACCAGGCCAAGAUCCAAUACCCAACAGCACAUGGAUAGCAUGGCAAUGAAAAGGCAUAUGUUAUGAAACAAAGAAGAAGAUAGCCAACAACAUAUGAAUAGCAAGUCACCUGCUGAAUACGAGCACGCUUUUGAAAAAUUUGUUCUUCAUAAACGGCAACUGACUGGAUGAAAUGCUCUACCCGAUCCAAUGAAACCUAUACACAUAAAAUCCUCAAGUUAGAGAAAGUUUGACCUUACAUUUUGAUUCACCAACUUAUUAAAUAUAUCCACAGAUCAACCAGAUAAUUACAAGGACACUUAAAAAAUCUCGAUAGAAUAGUAGUGUUUAAUCAUAUAAUGCUGUAAGAUGGUUAGGCCCAGUUAUACUAUGGGAGUAUCACAUUCAACACAGAAUCCAAUCAUCAUUUCUUUUAUUAUUUUUCCUGCUAGAGCACUAUCCUUGAGUCUUGUGAUAUAUUUAACACUAAACUCAAUUCCACCUUUUGUUUUAUUGAUGUUUAUUGCAGUGCUCUUGUGAAUAGAGUAGGGAGAAGAAGACAAAAAGAUUUAGGAAACACAGAACAGUAACCAAAAAGUAAUGGUCAAGGUUAACUACCUGUCUUGUAAGUUCAGUGUCCGAUAGGGUAAAACAUUUAAAUUUCAAUGUUUUGACUCAUGAAGAUUUUGUUUCAAGAUCAGCUCUCACUCAUGACAAUGUGAAAGAUUCCCUAAAUGAUAAGAAAAUAUUUCAUAUCUUUAGUGGAGAAACAAGCCUCUCCAUUACUUGUUUUCAAGUUCAUUGUGGUCAUGCUCUUAAUAAUGAAGCAUACACAUAGAUACAAGAUACACAUCCCAAAAUCAUAAGAUACAAAUGGCCAGGAUAAAAAUAAUAAAUUAAUAUUUGUCUUUAUAUACACAGGAAUAUAUCUAUGUUUUUACCACUAAAAAUUCUAUAGCUCUCUCUAUCUCUAUCUCUAUCUCUGUGUGUAUGGCACAUGAUAGGUGAAGGUAAAAUCAGGCUUUAUUUACCAUAAUGGAUUGUAUAUCUGGGUGUUGAAUCAACACAACCUGAAACCUGCCAGCUAAGAUAAUUGUUCGAGAGAUGUUCAAGAAAUAACUGAAAUGAAUGUUCACGAGAUGUAUCUAACAUGUACCAGAUUCUAAUUGAGGCAUUUCAGAAUCUGAUACAGAUCAAAUCUAGCAACGGCUACUAUAAAAAGUAUCCAUACUUCACUGGUUCUCAUGUCCAUUAAUAUUAGUUUUACGAGUCUCCAAUAUUAUAAUAAAAAGGGAAAAAAUGUGCAAUAUCGGGAGCUUCUAGUACAUUAGAUCUGUUGGUCCUUGUGCUGGAUUCUGAGUAUAAGGGAGUUAACAGUACUUGUGAGUUUGAGCAAGGUUUGUUGUACUGAUACCAGGCACAUUUUGGUUGCCCAGUGGUAUAGUAUGGUACACCACCAUACCGGCACAUGGCACACUACUGGAGAUGAGACAGCAGCUAUGCUUUGUGUUGGUACAGUACCGUAUCAAACCUCUAUACGACCAAAAUGGUGCAGUAUUCCUGGUACCGAGCAGUAUGUGUCAGUAUAGUAAACCAUGCUUGGGAGACAUUUGCAAGCUCAUACAAUAUUCUCUAAAUCUAUUUGGAAUUAUAUAUCAGGUGUCAAAAGGAUCUGCAUUUUAUGGACUAAGUCAUUCAUUCUUUUUAAAAUGCAAUGGGUGGUUUAUUGGCAACACUACUUUUUUGUUUUUCCCCUUAGAAGUCCUAGUAAUUGUUUGCUCUAUUGAAGUUGUUGCAAACAUCUGUAUUCAAUUUUACUGUAAAUUCUAUUUUCGCAUCUAGCUCCAUAAUCCAUGUUGGAUAUGUAUCGGUCAGGUGUUAGACACUAACUAGCAAUUUUCGGAUAUGGGUAAAGAGUUGGACCCACAAAAAGUUCAACCCACUAUAAUAAUGUUAAAAUGGAGCCUUUGUUCUUUUCAGAGAUUGGCUAUGAUUGUGGGUAUUAAAAUUUACAAAAUGUCAUUUUUUUCUCAAAUCCUUAAGCUAAUUGGAAGUUUGGAUGAGAAACAUGCAUUGGAGGAAACCUUAACAAACAAUAUCCUUUAAUGUUUUAUUUUAUGCAAUACUUAAACACAUGCUUCAAUUAAGAUUAUUUUUCCUACAUAUCCCCAAUUUUCCUUUUCUUCCUUGCCUAGUUAGACACACAAACGCAUCUCCCAAUCCAAUUCUCAUGUCUGUGUCCAUCCAUCACUGCCUCUAUUACUGCAUACACCUUUAUUCAAGGUCCGCCGUACCGGUACCAGU
rnacentral:lncRNA from 1 species